AGAGUUUGAUCCUGGCUCAGGACGAACGCUGGCGGCGUGCUUAACACAUGCAAGUCGAACGGAAAGGCCCCCACCAUUUUUGGUGGGGGUGCUCGAGUGGCGAACGGGUGAGUAACACGUGGGUGAUCUGCCCUGCACUUCGGGAUAAGCUUGGGAAACUGGGUCUAAUACCGGAUAGGACCAUGGUUUAGUGUCUCAUGGUGGAAAGAUUAUUGUUUUGGUGCAGGAUGAGCUCGCGGCCUAUCAGCUUGUUGGUGGGGUAAUGGCCUACCAAGGCGUCGACGGGUAGCCGGCCUGAGAGGGUGGACGGCCACAUUGGGACUGAGAUACGGCCCAGACUCCUACGGGAGGCAGCAGUGGGGAAUAUUGCACAAUGGGCGCAAGCCUGAUGCAGCGACGCCGCGUGGGGGAUGACGGCCUUCGGGUUGUAAACUCCUUUCGUUAGGGACGAAGCCACACCUUUUUUUGGGUGUGGUGACGGUACCUUUGUUAAGAAGCACCGGCUAACUACGUGCCAGCAGCCGCGGUAAUACGUAGGGUGCGAGCGUUGUCCGGAAUUACUGGGCGUAAAGAGCUCGUAGGUGGUUUGUUGCGUCGUCUGUGAAAUUCCGGGGCUUAACUUCGGGGUGGCAGGCGAUACGGGCAUAACUAGAGUGCUGUAGGGGAGACUGGAAUUCCUGGUGUAGCGGUGGAAUGCGCAGAUAUCAGGAGGAACACCGAUGGCGAAGGCAGGUCUCUGGGCAGUAACUGACGCUGAGGAGCGAAAGCAUGGGGAGCGAACAGGAUUAGAUACCCUGGUAGUCCAUGCUGUAAACGGUGGGCGUUAGGUGUGGGGACCGGUUUGGUUUCUGUGCCGUAGCUAACGCAUUAAGCGCCCCGCCUGGGGAGUACGGCCGCAAGGCUAAAACUCAAAGGAAUUGACGGGGGC
rnacentral:rRNA from 1 species